GGCAGAAGGGCAGCCAGGACCAUCAGCUCGGGUGCGUGAAAUGAGCACGGGGAAAGAAAGGGGUUUCUUUUCUGUUUUGUUUUAAGUAGAAUCGUAAUUGGGAUGGGAAGGGACUUUAGAGAUAAUCUAUUCAAGGACAUCAUUUUGUAGUGAGGCAACUGUGUUGUCUCCUGCCCGAGUUCACCCACCUGCUCUUCCUACCAGACCACGUGGGCAGUGCACUGGAACAAAAUCUCUCUAUCAGAUUAUCUCUCCUCUGUUUGUCUCCCUCUCCACCUCUGUGUUCAUAUGCAUAACACACACACACACACACACACACACACACACACACACACACACACACACACACGUUUUCUUUCCAAAUUUCCUCUUAACAAAGUCUAAAGAAUAAUCACUGUUUCUUGCCUCUAUGAUUUUUUUUGACCUCCUCUGAACCCCACACAUUGACGAAGUGCCAGCCAUAGCAAUAGUUUCAGACCCGUGGAGUCAGCUGUGCUGUUGCCAACCUCCAUCACCUGUCCGCCUUUAUCCUGGGCUCUGUUCCUGUGGAUUUGAACAAAUAGAUGAGCGGCAUCGGAAGAAAGCUUUAGCUGCAUGUGUUUGGGUGACCACGAGAGGGCAGCACGUAAGAGACCAGUGUCGGCCCCGCUGCCUUCUUGAACACACCGGAAGCCUCCUAGGAAAACUGCAGAUUUUGUCAGACUGUGAAGUAGAAGAGUCAAAGAGCCUUCAUUGCUUCCUUUUAAAUGACCAGCCUACUAAGGAAUUUAGAAUGCCCAAGUAAGGACUGCUGGUCAGACUGGACUUCAAAAUUCCUGGAUCCUUAAGACCCAAUGCAUCAGACAAAUGUCCUGCUGGAUCCUCCCACCGUCAGCUAAGGGACAGUGCUAGCUCUCUGGUGAGGGAGAUCCGUGUGGAGGUCUCUGGCAUUCCUGGGUCAGUGGAUGGCUGGGAGAACUGCUCAGCUCCAGGUUCCAGGGCCUCUGAUCAAAGCCAACCCUGGGGGCCAGCCAGAGAUAUCGCAAACCUAAGGACUAACGUGGAAUCUACACCUGCCUUGGGAGUAAAGAACAAGCAGGGUGCUUUCCGGGAUGGCUUUGGGAUGAGAUGCCCAAGACUUAGUGCCCCUGGCAUUGCUCAGCUCUCAAGCUGACUUCCACAGCACCCCCAUGGAAGCUUCAUUGGUGCAUCUUUGGGUCUUGAAUGCAGUGCUACAAUAUUGACGAGGAAAGUCUCCUUGGAACCACAGGAAGACAAAAGUGCAGAGUGAUUUGCUGGCCUUGGCUAGGACAGGGUCCAGGGUGCAGCCAAGGGAGGGUGAUCUAAGCCAGCCAUUCUCCUAGUGUGGCUCCUGGACUAUGCGCAACAGCAUCACCUGGGAGCUUGUUAGAAACACUGGUUCUCAGUUCCCAUGCAGACGUCUUGCAUCAGAAAAUCUGGGGCUGGGGCCCAGCAAUCAGUGUCUCCAAAGGCCCUGAGAUCAUUCUAUUCAAGUUUGGGAACCAGCAACACAGCAUUUAAGUGGAAAUGUUUAUAGUUGCAAAGCCAGGUGAAGCUUGAAAUGCAUCAUAGAGGAAAUGAGGACAAGAAUGUAGAAAAAGAGUAAAAACAGAGAGGAAAAAAAUUUACAAGCCAUCAUAGAGUGAAAGAGCUUCCCCUGCUGCCUGGGGGUGUGGGAAAUGAGAGUUGCACCUGCUCACAAGUAUGACCAGCAAUUUAAUAUCUAUCUAGAGCUUUCAACCCUGCCAUGUCAAAUUUAUUUAGCUAAAAACAACUCUUGUGGUGGUGACCUUUUAUUCAGCUAAUAUUACUCCCCUCAAUGCCUCCAAAGCACACAGAGAAAUUGGAGGGCUGAUGAAAAUCUUUAAAGUCUACUAAAUACUAAAGCCUUCCCAAACACUGUGUACUUUUCAGAGAGAGUUUCUUUUUAUUGGAAUUUCAGAUUAUUGAAAGGUUAUCUGUCUCCUGUUCCUAGAGGGAUUAAAAUAAAACAAAAGCAAGAAGAA
ensembl:lncRNA novel transcript